rnacentral:rRNA from 1 species
GACGAACGCUGGCGGCGUGCUUAACACAUGCAAGUCGAACGGAGUGGCGAACGGGUGAGUAACAAGUGGGUGACCAGCCCGGCACUUCGGGAUAAGCAUGGGAAACAGGGUCUAAUAAUGGAUAGUGUGGGAUGGGCACGCGGCCUAUCAGCUUGUUGGUGGGGUAAUGGCCUACCAAGGCGGAGACGGGUAGCCGGCCUGAGAGGUGGGACGGACACAUUGGUACUUAGAGACGGCCCAGACUCGUACGGGACGCAGCAGUGGGGAAUAUUGCGCAAUGGGCGGAAGCCUGAUGCAGCGACGCCGCGUGGGUGAUGACGGCCUUCGGGUUGUAAACUCCUUUCACCCUCUACGCGGUAGAUGGAGAAGAAGCACCGGCUAACUACGUGCCAGCAGCCGCGGUAAUAC